CAGUCAGUUACUCAGUCAGUCAGUCACUCAGUCACCCAGUCAGUCACCCAGUCAGUCACCCAGUCAGUCACUCACUUACCCCCCACCACCCACCACGUUGCUUCUUCAGUCUUCAGUCUUCCGUCUUCAGUCUUCAGUUUUUAUUCUUCCGUCUUCUUCAGUUAACAGCUGAUAGUCCUCGAUUGCUCAAUGUUGAUCCGGAGAGGCCUCAUAGAGAACCCCGACCGGCACCGAACAACCCAGCUUUCCAGCAAUAUUAACCACGAUGAUCUGAACCUGAUCGCAGCGCGGGUCCUAUAAGUAAACUUUUCGAGCGAGGACUGUGACGUCAGUCAUGACGUCUCUGUUGUCAUGACGUCAGUCAUGACGUCUCUGUUGUCAUGAUGUCAGUCAUGACGUCUCUGUUGUCAUGAUGUCAGUCAUGACGUCUGUGUAGUGAUGACGAUGAUCUCCGAUCAACCAAUCAAUGGGCUAAAUGUGAUAGUUUAUUCAACGUCAGCAUAAACAUAAUUUAAUGAUAUCAUGAAUAGCUCUGACCCAGAUCAGGGUUAAUAAAUGACCGUAUUACAGUGAUGAAAUAUAGUCAUUUAAAUGCUGUUGAAACAACAGUUAUACUGGAUGUGUUACAACCCAGAGGUGGUGUAGGGGUGAAGGAAGUAACAUACAGCCGGUGUUAUCAGGCAAUCGCUUGUUUUAUUGCCGUGAAUGAAAUUAAAGUAAAAUAAAGCAUACAAUGGUUUGAA